rnacentral:rRNA from 1 species
AGGGUUCGAUUCUGGCUCAGGAUGAACGCUAGCUACAGGCUUAACACAUGCAAGUCGAGGGGCAGCAUUGGAGUAGCAAUACUUCAGAUGGCGACCGGCGCACGGGUGAGUAACACGUAUCCAACCUGCCGCUUACUCGGGGAUAGCCUUUCGAAGAAAGAUUAAUACCCGAUGGUAUAAAGAGUUCGCAUGUUCUCUUUAUUAAAGAAUUUCGGUAAGCGAUGGGGAUGCGUUCCAUUAGAUAGUUGGCGGGGUAACGGCCCACCAAGUCUACGAUGGAUAGGGGUUCUGAGAGGAAGGUCCCCCACAUUGGAACUGAGACACGGUCCAAACUCCUACGGGAGGCAGCAGUGAGGAAUAUUGGUCAAUGGACGAGAGUCUGAACCAGCCAAGUGGGCGUGAAGGAUGACUGCCCUAUGGGUUGUAAACUUCUUUUAUAAGGGAAUAAAGUGAGGGACGUGUCCCUUUUUGUAUGUACCUUAUGAAUAAGGAUCGGCUAACUCCGUGCCAGCCGCGGC